AAGAGUUAUAUCAUCAGAAUUUUAUUAAAACUGCUUGGGAUUUUAUAGAUCAUCUGUUUGAAAUCUCACAUUUUAUGACAGAGAAACUGAGAAAGAUACAGCUAGAAAAAUAUAAAGAGCAGAUAAGUGGAUGGAUCCAAUGGACAUGUUGUGCGUUGAAUGAAAUCUUUGCAUUUGUAAUUAUUUCAGAAGGCCCUGGGUACGAUCACUCACAGGUCUAGGUAGUAGAAAACUGCUGUCCUUUCUAAUUCAUUCUCCCUGCCCCCAUUACUUUCUAAUGCCUUCCAGCAUCUAAAAGCCUGUUUCUCCAGAGAAGCUACAGAGCUGAUGUUUACAAAACUCAGAGAUAGUGCAGAAGAUAUUUUUAGAAUUGUCUAAGUGCUAGGAACAAUGUGUGGUAGAUGCUGUGGAGCCCAUUCAGAUGACCUGCCAAUACUGAGUUUCUUAUUUCCCCAGCUUCUGGGAAUAAGGGCUGCUGACUGGCUCACAGCCCAGGCCAUUCUCUGUGAACCGCCAUUGGUCAAAGUGGCCCAUCCAAGUUAUUCUCCUCCUGGAGGUGUCAGUCUGCACCCAAUCACUGGUCAGUGUAAGGGUAUAAUGACACAGUGUGCUUGCCUUGAUUUGGGACAACUCUGAGAGCCGUUUCUGUUUCAGAGUUCCCCGUAGGGUCAGCCAAAGCUCCGCGGCAGUUGCACUGCAGGUCUAGUUCUCCCUGGAUCCAUCUUGCUUCCUUCAUUCCCCAGCAAACCUGCUACAGGCACAUCUCUAUCUCAAAGUCUAUUUCCCAGAGAACCCAUACUAAGACAAUGUAACUGAACCAUUACAUAUGAAAUCAUUACAAAAUGUAGAGUUUAUUUUACCAGAAGUUGUGUUGUUUUCAACUUCUUAAAACAAAAGUAGGGACCUGGUUUCAGAGUUAUAGACCCUCUCCUCCCAGAAGGAAGAAUAGAGCUGAACAAUUAUCUGUGAAAUUUGAUCCAUUUAGAUAACCAAUUUUGCUUGACUAUUCCUUCCUUUGUAAGAAGAAGCCUUUAUACUGGUUAAUGUUAUUCUUGUUUCUGUUUUGAAGCUAUAGGUAUAUACAAAAGGAAAAUUAACCUGUGGGCCAUCAUCAUCUUUGCUACUCAAAGUAUGAUUGCUGUACCAGCAGCCUGGGCAUCACUCGUGAGCUUGUUAGAAAUGCAGACUCUCAGGCCCCACUCCAGCCCCACUGACUCAUCAUCUGCAUUUGAUCAAGACUCCCAGGUGUCUCAUAUGCACACUAAACUUUGAUAAUCACUAAACUAUACCACUGUUGUUAAAUCAGCCUGCUUGUUAAGACUGGGCAUUGUGCAAACGGAAAACAAGCAUUGGAGUCAGAAGAAUUCAAUUUCUGCCUCCUUCUUGCAGAGCACCUUGGGCAAAAACAACCAUAAAGACUUUUGCCCACAUUUUUUCCUCACUCCCUCUUCCAUCUAACCAACCCUGAUGCUUUUGUGUGGCCCUGUGUGGUGAGGCAUGCCUCCUUCUCUGGAAAACUAGACAGGACAACAGAAGCUUCCAGUCUGGGACUCUCCUAGACCUCACCUGCAGUGAUGCAUG
rnacentral:lncRNA from 1 species